rnacentral:rRNA from 1 species
UACGUAGGGGGCGAGCGUUGUCCGAAGUUACUGGGCGUAAAGCGCGCGUAGGCGGUUUCUUAAGUUUGGGGUGAAAGGUUCAGCGCUCAACGUGAACAGUGCCUUGAAUACUGGGGAGCUUGAAUGUGGCAGAGGGUCAUGGAAUUUCCGGUGUAGCGGUGAAAUGCGUAGAUAUCGGAAGGAACAUCAAUGGCGAAGGCAGUGACCUGGGCUAACAUUGACGCUGAGGUGCGAAAGCGUGGGGAGCGAACGGG